rnacentral:rRNA from 1 species
GGUACAUGAGCUGGGUUCAGAACGUCGUGAGACAGUUCGGUCUGUAUCCGUCGUGGGCGUAGGAGCAUUGAGGGGCGCCGACCUUAGUACGAGAGGACCGGGUCGGACCGACCGCUCGUGUACCGGCUGUCACGCCAGUGGGGCACGGGGGCACGGAGGCACGGGGGGCACGGAGGCACGGGGCACAGAAAGGGCACAAUGUGCGUUGAAACGGGUUACCUGCAGCACACCGGAAGCAGCACAUU